rnacentral:rRNA from 1 species
UACGAAGGGGGCUAGCGUUGCUCGGAAUCACUGGGCGUAAAGCGCACGUAGGCGGAUUGUUAAGUCAGGGGUGAAAUCCUGGAGCUCAACUCCAGAACUGCCUUUGAUACUGGCGAUCUUGAGUCCGGGAGAGGUGAGUGGAACUGCGAGUGUAGAGGUGAAAAUUCGUAGAUAUUCGCAAGAACACCAGUGGCGAAGGCGGCUCACUGGCCCGGUACUGACGCUGAGGCGCGAAGGCUAGGGGGAGCAAACGGGG